rnacentral:rRNA from 1 species
AUGCAUAGCCGAGUUGAGAGACUGAUCGGCCACAAUGGAACUGAGACACGGUCCAUACUCCUACGGGAGGCAGCAGUAGGGAAUCUUCCACAAUGGGCGCAAGCCUGAUGGAGCAACACCGCGUGAGUGAAGAAGGGUUUCGGCUCGUAAAGCUCUGUUGUUGGAGAAGAACGUGCGUGAGAGUAACUGUUCACGCAGUGACGGUAUCCAACCAGAAAGUCACGGCUAACUACGUGCCAGCAGCCGCGGUAAUACGUAGGUGGCAAGCGUUAUCCGGAUUUAUUGGGCGUAAAGCGAGCGCAGGCGGUUGCUUAGGUCUGAUGUGAAAGCCUUCGGCUUAACCGAAGAAGUGCAUCGGAAACCGGGCGACUUGAGUGCAGAAGAGGACAGUGGAACUCCAUGUGUAGCGGUGGAAUGCGUAGAUAUAUGGAAGAACACCAGUGGCGAAGGCGGCUGUCUGGUCUGCAACUGACGCUGAGGCUCGAAAGCAUGGGUAGCGAACAGGAUUAGAUACCCUGGUAGUCCAUGCCGUAAACGAUGAGUGCUAGGUGUUGGAGGGUUUCCGCCCUUCAGUGCCGG